AGCAAUGGGCUUAUAUCUUUAUAUAUCCUUGAGAAAAGCCUCUUCUGCUUCCUUAAUUUUAUUCAUCCCACUACAGAUUUUUCUAUUGGCAUUUAUUAAUUGUUUCUGCUAAUGUUCACAAUGUGCUAGGUGAUUUUUGAAUACAAAAGGUGGCACCAUCUGAAGAGUCUGCAAUCCAAGAGUGGCAUGGCAGUGUUCCUGACAGACCAGUGUUGUGAUCCAACAUAUCAUACCUGAUGUUCCUAGCGGUUAUGUAAGAAGAGAUGGGCUCAAACCAAACUCUUACAAUCUUUGGGAAGAAUCACUCAUUACCUGAACUUUAACUGUGCUCUGAGGGUCCUGCACAUGUUCCAGAGUUGCAUCAACAUCCAAUGCCACCACGAGUCCUGAUGUAAACCUCAAAGGGUUAUCAGACUCGCCAGCAGGUUCAAUAAUAGUUGAAGUAGCUCUGUGGAUCUGGGAGGAAAAGGGAAGAGGGUGGGGAGGAGAAAACAAACAUCUAAGAAAACACGAUGUCAACUUUUAGAAAUUCCUGACACUAUCUAAAAAUUAUUCAAGCUCCUUAACUUUUUGAGGACAGUCCUGGAAACACUGUGCAAUAGCUGAAGAAAUAUCCCUCAUGACUAGCCAGCCAAAUAGGCCAUAAAAGCCUCCUGCUCCACCAGGACAGAGUUAACCCUGGAACCUCGGGCUGCUCUUCAUUCCUCUCUGGAUUACUGACCUGCUCUGGAAGAGGAAGGUGAAGGAAGGUGCUCUGUCGUAGCGUUGUUUGCAGGAUCUUCACCGCUUCUGAAGGUUUGGAGGUCACCAGUCUGGGCAUUAAGUCCAGCAGCUUAUCCACAAAACUGUCUUGCAUAUGGGGCAGGUCAGAAAUAAAACAUCUGUG